rnacentral:rRNA from 1 species
ACGAACGCUGGCGGCGUGCUUAACACAUGCAAGUCGAACGAUGAAGCCCAGCUUGCUGGGUGGAUUAGUGGCGAACGGGUGAGUAACACGUGAGCAACGUGCCCAUAACUCUGGGAUAACCUCCGGAAUCGGUGGCUAAUACUGGAUAUCUAACACGAUCGCAUGGUCUGUGUUUGGAAAGAUUUUUUGGUUAUGGAUCGGCUCACGGCCUAUCAGCUUGUUGGUGAGGUAAUGGCUCACCAAGGCGACGACGGGUAGCCGGCCUGAGAGGGUGACCGGCCACACUGAGACUGAGACACGGCCCAGACUCCUACGGGAGGCAGCAGUGGGGAAUAUUGCACAAUGGGCGAAAGCCUGAUGCAGCAACGCCGCGUGAGGGAUGACGGCCUUCGGGUUGUAAACCUCUUUUAGUAGGGAAGAAGCGAAAGUGACGGUACCUGCAGAAAAAGCACCGGCUAACUACGU